GGUUAAGCGACUAAGCGUACACGGUGGAUGCCCUGGCAGUCAGAGGCGAUGAAGGACGUGCUAAUCUGCGAAAAGCGUCGGUAAGGUGAUAUGAACCGUUAUAGCCGGCGAUGUCCGAAUGGGGAAACCCAGUGCAAUUCGUUGCACUAUCGUUAACUGAAUACAUAGGUUAACGAGGCGAACCGGGGGAACUGAAACAUCUAAGUACCCCGAGGAAAAGAAAUCAACCGAGAUUCCCCCAGUAGCGGCGAGCGAACGGGGAGCAGCCCAGAGUCUGAAUCAGCUUGUGUGUUAGUGGAACGGUCUGGAAAGUCCGACGGUACAGGGUGAUAGUCCCGUACACCAAAAUGCACAGGUUGUGAACUCGAAGAGUAGGGCGGGACACGUGGUAUCCUGUCUGAAUAUGGGGGGACCAUCCUCCAAGGCUAAAUACUCCUGACUGACCGAUAGUGAACCAGUACCGUGAGGGAAAGGCGAAAAGAACCCCGGCGAGGGGAGUGAAAAAGAACCUGAAACCGUGUACGUACAAGCAGUGGGAGCACCUUCGGGUGUGACUGCGUACCUUUUGUAUAAUGGGUCAGCGACUUAUAUUCUGUAGCAAGGUUAACCGUAUAGGGGAGCCGCAGGGAAACCGAGUCUUAACUGGGCGUUAAGUUGCAGGGUAUAGACCCGAAACCCGGUGAUCUAGCCAUGGGCAGGUUGAAGGUUGGGUAACACUAACUGGAGGACCGAACCGACUAAUGUUGAAAAAUUAGCGGAUGACUUGUGGCUGGGGGUGAAAGGCCAAUCAAACCGGGAGAUAGCUGGUUCUCCCCGAAAGCUAUUUAGGUAGCGCCUCGUGAAUUCAUCUUCGGGGGUAGAGCACUGUUUCGGCUAGGGGGUCAUCCCGACUUACCAACCCGAUGCAAACUACGAAUACCGAAGAAUGUUAUCACGGGAGACACACGGCGGGUGCUAACGUCCGUCGUGAAGAGGGAAACAACCCAGACCGCCAGCUAAGGUCCCAAAGUCAUGGUUAAGUGGGAAACGAUGUGGGAAGGCACAGACAGCCAGGAUGUUGGCUUAGAAGCAGCCAUCAUUUAAAGAAAGCGUAAUAGCUCACUGGUCGAGUCGGCCUGCGCGGAAGAUGUAACGGGGCUAAACCAUGCACCGAAGCUGCGGCAGCGACACUAUGUGUUGUUGGGUAGGGGAGCGUUCUGUAAGCCUGCGAAGGUGUGCUGUGAGGCAUGCUGGAGGUAUCAGAAGUGCGAAUGCUGACAUAAGUAACGAUAAAGCGGGUGAAAAGCCCGCUCGCCGGAAGACCAAGGGUUCCUGUCCAACGUUAAUCGGGGCAGGGUGAGUCGACCCCUAAGGCGAGGCCGAAAGGCGUAGUCGAUGGGAAACAGGUUAAUAUUCCUGUACUUGGUGUUACUGCGAAGGGGGGACGGAGAAGGCUAUGUUAGCCGGGCGACGGUUGUCCCGGUUUAAGCAUGUAGGCUGGUUGUCCAGGCAAAUCCGGAUAAUCAAGGCUGAGGUGUGAUGACGAGGCACUACGGUGCUGAAGUAACAAAUGCCCUGCUUCCAGGAAAAGCCUCUAAGCAUCAGGUAACAUCAAAUCGUACCCCAAACCGACACAGGUGGUCAGGUAGAGAAUACCAAGGCGCUUGAGAGAACUCGGGUGAAGGAACUAGGCAAAAUGGUGCCGUAACUUCGGGAGAAGGCACGCUGGUGUGUAGGUGAAGCCCCUGCGGGUGGAGCUGAGACCAGUCGAAGAUACCAGCUGGCUGCAACUGUUUAUUAAAAACACAGCACUGUGCAAACACGAAAGUGGACGUAUACGGUGUGACGCCUGCCCGGUGCCGGAAGGUUAAUUGAUGGGGUUAUCCGUAAGGAGAAGCUCUUGAUCGAAGCCCCGGUAAACGGCGGCCGUAACUAUAACGGUCCUAAGGUAGCGAAAUUCCUUGUCGGGUAAGUUCCGACCUGCACGAAUGGCGUAAUGAUGGCCAGGCUGUCUCCACCCGAGACUCAGUGAAAUUGAACUCGCUGUGAAGAUGCAGUGUACCCGCGGCAAGACGGAAAGACCCCGUGAACCUUUACUAUAGCUUGACACUGAACAUUGAGCCUUGAUGUGUAGGAUAGGUGGGAGGCUUUGAAGCGUGGACGCCAGUCUGCGUGGAGCCAACCUUGAAAUACCACCCUUUAAUGUUUGAUGUUCUAACGUUGGCCCCUUAUCGGGGUUGCGGACAGUGUCUGGUGGGUAGUUUGACUGGGGCGGUCUCCUCCCAAAGCGUAACGGAGGAGCACGAAGGUUAGCUAAUCCUGGUCGGACAUCAGGAGGUUAGUGCAAUGGCAUAAGCUAGCUUGACUGCGAGCGUGACGGCGCGAGCAGGUGCGAAAGCAGGUCAUAGUGAUCCGGUGGUUCUGAAUGGAAGGGCCAUCGCUCAACGGAUAAAAGGUACUCCGGGGAUAACAGGCUGAUACCGCCCAAGAGUUCAUAUCGACGGCGGUGUUUGGCACCUCGAUGUCGGCUCAUCACAUCCUGGGGCUGAAGUAGGUCCCAAGGGUAUGGCUGUUCGCCAUUUAAAGUGGUACGCGAGCUGGGUUUAGAACGUCGUGAGACAGUUCGGUCCCUAUCUGCCGUGGGCGCUGGAGAAUUGAGGGGGGCUGCUCCUAGUACGAGAGGACCGGAGUGGACGCAUCACUGGUGUUCGGGUUGUCAUGCCAAUGGCACUGCCCGGUAGCUAAAUGCGGAAGAGAUAAGUGCUGAAAGCAUCUAAGCACGAAACUUGCCCCGAGAUGAGUUCUCCCUGAGACUUUAAGUCUCCUGAAGGAACGUUGAAGACGACGACGUUGAUAGGCCGGGUGUGUAAGCGCAGCGAUGCGUUGAGCUAACCGGUACUAAUGAACCGUGAGGCUUAACCUU
rnacentral:rRNA from 1 species